AUCAAGCUAAAACUUGAGUCUUAAUUAUCUCAAUUCUUAUCUUGUAAUAGCUUUCAUAAAAGUCAGGAUUAAGAAUCCUUAUCUUGUUUUCUUUCCAUUGGCAGAUUUAGUUAAUCGAAAUACAAAUCUUUUGAGGAUAGCUUCAGUUUUAGGCAACCGCUACUUGGGAUGUUCUUCUACCACUACCUAAUGGAGCAUCAGGUUUUUUAUAAAUUAGAAUAUUACAAAGGUAAUCACUUCAAUUUUUCCUCCUUAUAUUUGCUUUGCAUGAAAUCUGUGAAAUAGGUUGCCUAUGAGAGUCAAUUUGAUGCAUUUUUCUCUUUAACUCUCUUCUACCUAAGAAAAUAACAAUAUUCAUAAAGCCUUUUGAAUUUCUUGUCUUCACAGGGUGUGAUAAGGAAUUCCCCCAAUUUGAUGAAGGAUUCACAGGCCCUAGAUUAUGCAAACCAUGUUCUAUUCAAUACAAAUAUUUGGAUUUUGAAGAAUUUUGUGCGGCUGCCUUAAGUUUGCAUCAGCUAGAAGGAAUGGAGUGCUAGGAACAACAUGCGAGGCAUGCCUGUGAGCUAUUUGAGAAGGAUGUCAACAAGCCAAUUAUGUUUGAAGGAACUUGCCCUUGUAUUCUCGUGCAUGAACAAAUUCAAAAGUCACACUUGCUGAUAUUGGAGUAGCGCUGUGUUCUUAGAUUAUUUCAAAUAGUAAUCAGGUGGAAAUAGGUUGGGACUGCUCCAAUCUUUGAGAUUUGAAUUGAUUUUUGGAGGAUCAUACAGUCCUGGAUUUUGAAAGAUAUAAGACAAGGUCAGAAUUCUAAACCAGACAAGAGCGGUGUUUUCUU